CGCCGUCACCCUCUCCCCCUGGGCAGCCCCAGCCCCAGCCCCAGCCGCAGCCCCAGCCGCAAAUGAGGAUGCAUCCCAGCGGGCAACAGCCCAGCCAGCCGUCGGCGGCGACCCAACCCCUGGAGUGGCUGCAAUCCGCGGAGCGGGGGUGGCCCGUCCAGGUGCUAACCGGGCCCCUGCCCACCCAGUGAGCCGUGGGUCCUCCGCGGGGCGGGUCCGAUUCGGGGGAAGAGGGGAGGGGAGGGAAAGAGGGAGAGCAUCGAGACGAGCAGGUUCUAAAGUUUCUGAAUGGUGGACACACACACGCGCACAUCGGCCGGUCUUGUGGUGUUCCAUCACAUCACUUGCACUAACCCCAACCUAAAUGUUAUGAUGCUCACUUAUGGCCGUACUGCAUCUUGUCGUACAUCACAUGCAGGUGGUGCGAGUAUUACUUGGCACAUCACACCCGG
rnacentral:lncRNA from 1 species